AAAAUCUAUUUAUAAUUGUCUAUCUAAACAAUAAAAUAUUCAAAAAGAAAAUAUUUGGAUUCACUCCUUGGCGAAUAUUUGUAUGAAUCAUAAAACGAGUUUUAAAUAUGUGCGAUUUUGUAGCAAAUGCUAAAAAAGUUAUUUAAAGAGGACAACAUUAUUUUUAUUGAACAAAUGAAAAAUAAGUCCAUGAUCCUUAGCAAAGAGUUGUUACAUCGUUUAAACACACUCAAGUGGCAAACAAAACAAUUGUAGUAUCUUCUAUUACUUUUGAUGAUGGUGUUUACUCUCAUCUUUCUACCCAUGAAGAUGGCGCCAAUUAGUCACACAAGAAUCUCCUUAUCUAUGUACAAUAGCUGGAUUCGAUAUUUCUGUAGAACAGGCGAAACAAACGAAGCAAUGUCUCUCCUCGCCGAAAUCCAUUCUCUAGGUUCACGUCCUGAUCCUCUUUCCUACGUUAGUUUUAUUGAAACACUCGCUAGUCUCAGAAGGACUCUCGAAGCUGAUGCUUUGUUUCAUGAAGUAGUUAGAUUCAUGAUUUAUGGAAGCUAUUCGGUGAGAUUGUACAAUGCUUUGGUUAGUCGAUAUUUGAGAAAAGGUCAAUUAGAGUUAGCUCUUAGGGUUUUGAAUCAUAUGAAAAGGGGAAAUAUUGAUAAGGAUCAGGAAACUUGUGAAAUUCUGUUGAACUAUUACGUUAGUGCUGGUAGAUAAGAGGUAUCGUGGCGUGUGGUUAACGAAAUGAAGAAGAGGAAGUUUCGUUUGAAUUCGUUUGUUUAUGGGAAGAUUAUUCGUAUUUAUAGAGAUAAUGGUAUGUGGAAGAAAGCUUUAGGGAUUGUAGAAGAGAUUAGGGAGAUUGGUUUGCCUAUGGAUGUGGAGAUAUACAAUAGUGUUAUUGAUACGUUUGGUAAGUAUGGAGAGUUGGAUGAAGAGUUACAGGUGUUAGAGAAACUACAGAGAUCGAGUGAUUCGAGGCCUAAUAUUAGGACAUGGAAUUCGUUAAUACGGUGGCAUUGUCAUCACGGUGCGGUUGAUAUGGCGCUUGAGUUGUUUACAAUGAUGUAGGAUCAGUGGCUUUAUCCUAACCCUAGGAUGUUUGUGAAUCUUAUAACUCGGUUGGGAGAGAAUGGGAACUGGAACAUGAUAGAUACACAUUUUGAGUCUAUAAAGUGUAAGGAACAUAAAGAUACAAGAGCUAUUUAUGCAGUAAAUUAUUGGACAGUUUGGGAGUUUCGAGGAUAUUGGGGAACUUGUGGGUAAGCUAAAGUCUCAAGGUGUUGCUCCUUCUGCUAAUUUAUUUUGCACUUUGGCAAAUGCAUAUGCUCAGCAGGUUGAUUUCCUAUCUUUCUAUGUUUCAUGUUCUCGGUUUUUGUUUAUGAUCUGAACUUGGUAGACUCUAUAUAGGUUGUUUCAGCCGUUUUCAUUUGGUAUAUAUAGAAGAGUAUUGAAUGUCAACAACUGUAGAAGGUUCAUAGAUUCUGCUAACAAGAUUUGGCUUGUUGUUUUAAUUUCCCUUGU
rnacentral:sRNA from 1 species